CCUACGGGAGGCAGCAGUGAGGAAUAUUGGUCAAUGGCCGGAAGGCUGAACCAGCCAUGCCGCGUGAAGGUCAGUGCCCUAUGGGCGUUAAACUUCUUUUGUGCGGGAGCAAUAAUGGUCACGUGUGGCCAGACGAGAGUACCGUACGAAUAAGCAUCGGCUAACUCCGUGCCAGCAGCCGCGGUAAUACGGGGGAUGCAAGCGUUAUCCGGAUUUAUUGGGUUUAAAGGGUGCGUAGGCUGGGAGGUAAGUCAGCGGUGAAAUGCCCCCGCUCAACGGGGUGAAGUGCCAUUGAUACUGCCUGGCUGGAAUGCGGAUGCCGUGGGAAGAAUGUGUGGUGUAGCGGUGAAAUGCAUAGAUAUCACACAGAACACCGAUUGCGAAGGCAUCUCACGAAUCCGCGAUUGACGCUGAUGCACGAAAGCGUGGGUAUCAAACAGGAUUAGAUACCCUUGUAGUC
rnacentral:rRNA from 1 species